GAUGAACGCUGGCGGCGUGCCUAGUACAUGCAAGUCGAGCGAACAGACGAGGAGCUUGCUCCUCUGACGUUAGCGGCGGACGGGUGAGUAACACGUGGAUAACCUACCUAUAAGACUGGGAUAACUUCGGGAAACCGGAGCUAAUACCGGAUAAUAUAUUGAACCGCAUGGUUCAAUAGUGAAAGACGGUUUUGCUGUCACUUAUAGAUGGAUCCGCGCCGCAUUAGCUAGUUGGUAAGGUAACGGCUUACCAAGGCAACGAUGCGUAGCCGACCUGAGAGGGUGAUCGGCCACACUGGAACUGAGACACGGUCCAGACUCCUACGGGAGGCAGCAGUAGGGAAUCUUCCGCAAUGGGCGAAGGCCUGACGGAGCAACGCCGCGUGAGUGAUGAAGGUCUUCGGAUCGUAAAACUCUGUUAUUAGGGAAGAACAAAUGUGUAAGUAACUAUGCACGUCUUGACGGUACCUAAUCAGAAAGCCACGGCUAACUACGUG
rnacentral:rRNA from 1 species